CUCAUCAAAUCAAAACUAAAAAGAGAGGAAGAUAUGUUACUAACCAAAUAAAAUGCGAGGAAAUAAGGAGUGUAUAGUCGUUUAGUAAAAUCCAUCGACAAAAUGCGAGGAAGGCAUUUAUUCUUUAGAAGCCUCCUCAUAUGUUAAUGUUCAGUACAGCUAGAAUAGCAACGGAAAAUGCUAUGAAGUUCAUGAAUGUCAUUUGUUUGAUUAAAUGUCACAAUGAAAAAUGUAAGUGCCUUUUAUUUGCUCAACCCAUGAUUUUUCAUGAAAUCAAUUGUUCUUGAAAUCAGUUGCAAACCCAUACAUUGUAUGAUGUCAUGCAUGUAAGUUUUCCUGUACAUUCUAAUUGUUUGAUAAAAUGUUUAUGUACUUCACAAUUCAUAAAAUCUAUUAUACAAAGUAUUUUGCUUAA